CCUGGCUCAGGAUGAACGCUGGCGGCGUGCCUAACACAUGCAAGUCGAGCGAUUCUCUUCGGAGAAGAGCGGCGGACGGGUGAGUAACGCGUGGGUAACCUGCCCUGUACACACGGAUAACAUACCGAAAGGUAUGCUAAUACGAGAUAAUAUAAGAAAUUCGCAUGUUUUUCUUAUCAAAGCUCCGGCGGUACAGGAUGGACCCGCGUCUGAUUAGCUAGUUGGUGAGGUAAUGGCUCACCAAGGCGACGAUCAGUAGCCGACCUGAGAGGGUGAUCGGCCACAUUGGAACUGAGACACGGUCCAAACUCCUACGGGAGGCAGCAGUGGGGAAUAUUGCACAAUGGGCGAAAGCCUGAUGCAGCAACGCCGCGUGAGCGAUGAAGGCCUUCGGGUCGUAAAGCUCUGUCCUCAAGGAAGAUAAUGACGGUACUUGAGGAGGAAGCCCCGGCUAACUACGUGCCAGCAGCCGCGGUAAUACGUAGGGGGCUAGCGUUAUCCGGAUUUACUGGGCGUAAAGGGUGCGUAGGCGGUCUUUUAAGUCAGGAGUGAAAGGCUACGGCUCAACCGUAGUAAGCUCUUGAAACUGGAGGACUUGAGUGCAGGAGAGGAGAGUGGAAUUCCUAGUGUAGCGGUGAAAUGCGUAGAUAUUAGGAGGAACACCAGUAGCGAAGGCGGCUCUCUGGACUGUAACUGACGCUGAGGCACGAAAGCGUGGGGAGCAAACAGGGUUAGAUACCCUGGUAGUCCACGCCGUAAACGAUGAGUACUAGCUGUCGGAGGUUACCCCCUUCGGUGGCGCAGCUAACGCAUUAAGUACUCCGCCUGGGGAGUACGCUCGCAAGAGUGAAACUCAAAGGAAUUGACGGGGACCCGCACAAGUAGCGGAGCAUGUGGUUUAAUUCGAAGCAACGCGAAGAACCUUACCUAAGCUUGACAUCCUUUUGACCGAUGCCUAAUCGCAUUUUUCCCUUCGGGGACAGAAGUGACAGGUGGUGCAUGGUUGUCGUCAGCUCGUGUCGUGAGAUGUUGGGUUAAGUCCCGCAACGAGCGCAACCCUUGCCUUUAGUUGCCAUCAUUAAGUUGGGCACUCUAGAGGGACUGCCAGGGAUAACCUGGAGGAAGGUGGGGAUGACGUCAAAUCAUCAUGCCCCUUAUGCUUAGGGCUACACACGUGCUACAAUGGGUGGUACAGAGGGCAGCAAAGUCGUGAGGCCAAGCUAAUCCCUUAAAGCCAUUCUCAGUUCGGAUUGUAGGCUGAAACUCGCCUACAUGAAGCUGGAGUUACUAGUAAUCGCAGAUCAGAAUGCUGCGGUGAAUGCGUUCCCGGGUGUUGACACACCGCCC
rnacentral:rRNA from 1 species